UUUUUUUUUUGCCUUUAUUUUACGGAGCUGAAAACUGAGGUUCUGAGAGGUGACAUCAUUUGGUCAAGGUCACUUAAACAGCAAGUUACCCAGUGGGAAAGACAGCCCGACAUUUGAGCUGCAAAAGCUCACUGUGAAUACAGUUUUCCUCCUCUGCCACACUGCCUCUGUUGGAGGGCUGACCCUGAACAGUAGAAUUGAAGGUCUAAUAAUAGACUCUGAACACAUUGAAUAUUAGGCAUGGGGAGAACUCUAACUAGCUAGAAACCAUUAGUCGUAGUGUUUUUUAUUCUUCCGUUAUUUCAGUGGCAUUGCCUGAAAUUAUAUUACCUUAUUCAGUUUACAGUGCAUUUGUUAUCACUAGGAUUCUGAUGCAUAAGAUAUUCUUACAAGAAUAUCUUACAUGCCUCCCUGUUAACUUCUUUUUCUUAAAUUUUUUUUAACGUUUAUUUUUGAGAGAGAGAGAGAGAGAGAGAGAGAGAAAGAGAGACAAAGCACGAGUGGGGGAGGGGCAAAGAGAGAGAGGGAGACACAGAAUCUGGAGCAGGCUCCAGGCUCUGAGCUGUCAGCACAGAGCCUGAUGCAGGACUCGAACUCACGAACAGCAAGAUCACGAUCUGAGCCGAAGUUGGAUGCUUAACCGACUGAGCCACCCAGGCGCCCCUCUGUUACCUUCUUAAGAGCCAGAUUCAAACUUCUACUUCACUAUAGGUUUGAAAUUUUAAGUACUUUACAGCCGAAGGAGAAAAAAAAUAGGGUUAUUUGUCACAGAGGGUAUAAAGGAACUACUUUCUGGAUCACUGAAGAGAACAGUGUUACUGUUAAUGGUACAAUUUUAUCUCUUGCAGUUAGCCUGAGACCAGCACCUGUGUUCAUCCUUCCUGGGAGCCUAAACUGCUCACAUCCUGGGCUGGGCCUGGGGUGCUGACAUGAACGGGGCCUCGGUUCUUUCUAAGGGACUAGCUUCAGUUUCCUAUGUUCUGAUCAAUGUAGUUCCCACCCUCUCUCCCACUUUGACUCCUUUUGUUUUUAUUGCUUCACUCCAGACAGCCGGUUCACUAUUCUAAGAAAUGGUUCUGUGAGAACUACUUAGUGAAUUUAUUCAGUGGUUUAUUCAGCAUCGCUGCCCACUAGGCACUGCUCUGAGUGCUGGACAUGGGAUAGAACAGGGCACCAAACAGCACCUCUGCCCACUUUUUUUUUUCACUUUUAAACUGGAGUUGGUGAGUGAAUUAUGCACCACUGUUAGCAUCUUGCCAGCAGAAUCUGUGACUGUAUAUUUGCCAUUACCAGUGAGGAUUACACUACCUUUUUGUGUUGUUUUUUUGUUGGUAUUAAUUAGCAUUCUUUUCCUUUCACUCAAAGCAUUGCCUUUAGCAUUUCUUGGAAGGCAGGUCUGGUGGUAAUGAACUCCUUCAGCUUUUGUUCGUUCUGGAAAGUGUUCCUCCAUUUCUGAAGGACAGCUUUGCCAGGUACAGAACUCUUGGUUGAUAGUUAUUUUCUUUCAGUAUUUUUAAUAUACUAUACUCUUCUGGCCUGAAAAGUUUCUGUUCAGAGAUUCACUGAUAGUCUUAUGGGAGUUCCUUUUUUAUUUUUUAAAGUAGACUUCAUGUCCCAUGCAGAACCCAACUCAGGGCUUGAACUCACAACCCUGAGAUGAAGACCUGAGCUGAGACCAAGAGUUGGACACUUAACCAGCUGAGCCACCCAGGAGCCCCUUUGGGGGUUCCCUUGUAUGUACCUUCUCUCUUUUCUCUUGCUGCUCUUAAAAUCCUUUCCUUGUCUUCCCAUAGGCUUCCUUCAGUCUUUUAUAUUUUUUUUCUUUUUGUUCCUCUGACUGCAUAAUUUCCAGUGCCCUAUCCUCCAGGUUAUGGAUUCUUCUUUCUGUGUGGUUGAGUCUACUUUCAAAACUGAAUUCUUUUGUUCAGUUAUGUGUUUUUCUUUUUUUUUUUAAUGUUCAUUUAUUAUUUAUUUUGAGAGAAAGAAAGAGUGAGCAAGGGAAGGGCAGAGAGAGAGGGAGACAGAGAAUCCCAAGCAGGCUCCACACUGUCAGUGAGGAGCCUGAUGUGGGGCUCGAACUCAUGAACCGUGAGAUCAUGACCUGAGCGGAAACCAAGAGUUGGAAGCCCAACUGACUGAGCCACCCAGGCACCCCCAGUUAGGUAUUUUUUAACUCUAGGUUUUGGGUUUGUUUUUAUUUUAUUUUUUUGGUGGUUGCUAUUUUCUUCUUCUUUUUAUUAUUAUUAUUAUUAUUAUUAUUAUUAUUAUUUUUAAUGUUCAUGUAUUUUUUGAGAGAGACAGAGAUAGAGUGGCAAGCGGGGUAGGGGGAGAGAGAAAGGGAGACACAGAAUCUGAAGCAGGCUCCAGGCUCCGAGCUGUCAGCACAGAGCCCGACACAGGGCUUGAACCCACAAACCAUGAGAUCGUGACCUGUGCCGAAGCCGGAUGCUCAACUGACUGAGCCACCCAGGCCCUCCCCCUGAUAGUUGCUAUUUUAUCAAAAUUCUCAUUUUGUUCAUGUGGUGUUUUCCUAAUUUUGUGUAGCUGUCUGUAUUUUCUUGAAGUUCACUAAACUUCAAGACAAUUACUCUGAAUUCUUUGGCUAACAGUUCAUAGAUCUCUGUUUCUUUAGGGUAAGUAAUGGGAGCUUAUUAUUUACCUUUCAUGGUGUCAUAUUUACCUGAUUUUUCAUGAUCAUCGAUUCCUUAUGUUGAUAUCAGCAUAUUUAAAUAAUGGGGCUCCUCUUCCAGACUUUUCAGAUUUGCUCUGGCAGAGAGAAUUCUUCACCAGUCACCUCAAUUUGAGUUACUGGGUGUGUCUGCUGGUAAUAUCUUGGGGCAGGUGGGACCUGCUCUUAUGGUCUAUUUUGGGGGGAGGCAGCUGUUUAAGCUCUGAGAAUGUGGGUUGGGGGUGUCUGUCACUGGCUGAGAACAGUUGGGUAGGACUGCUGGCUUAGUUCCCGUGCAAGAGAGGCCGUAGGACGGUUUCUGUUACUGCCUAGAUUCUCUGGUCAGAAAUGGUCGGAAUUGGGUACUGUAUUGAGUCUUAGAUGGGUCUGUGAACUAGCUUCCCUGCUCUGGCAGGGCAGCAGGAAGGGCCCCAGGGCCCGUGUACCUCAUUGCCUGGAGACCUAAAUCAGCCCAAAGUGUGCCUGAAUUCCCUGCCUAGGUGAGGCCACCUGUUUUGCUCUACCAACAGGAGAAGCCGUGGGCUUUGCUCUCUGUUCAGGUGGUGUUGUAUGUAGAGCUGUUGAAUGGGCUUUGAAGCUUCCCAGGUGCUCCCAUUAGGUUCCCUGGUGGGACAGCCUGAGGGCUGUAUUCAGCCAUGAGCAGGGCUGUGAAUUCCCUGCCUGGGCACAGUGGGAGAAGUAAAUGUAAAACCAGUCAGGCUCUGUUUGUUGUCUUCACUGGAGCUGAUCUGUACCCCCAAGUUCCCUGGCCGAAUAGGGUCUCUGACUUUGCUCUGCAAACUGUUGACUCCGAGUGCUCUUCUCUUGGCCUGAGCUGUGCUGGGCUGUACAGCUUCCAGGAGUUGUCACCAGCCCUUCUGGUCAGAUGGGGCCAGAAGACCAUCUUCACAGUGUGCGAAGCUAUGCCCCAGCCCCCUUGCCUGGGCAGGAGCGGGAAGGUCCACUCUAGACUAAUUCAGUUUCCCCAGACAGGCACUCUGGUUGGGAGGGGCCAGAAGCUACAUUCAGCCUUGGCUCUGAAUUCAUUCCCCUGCCUCCAUACCUGGUACUGGCUUUGCUCUGGGGGUGAGCCUCUCAGAACCUCUGCCUCUCAGCCAGAGUGUUGCUGGGCUACACAGCUUCCAGGAGUUGUCCCCAGCACUCUGGUCACAACUCUGGUCCAGGGUCUGGAAGACCCUUUCCACAGGUCCCUGGGUGUGGGCGAACUGGGCUCUUGGGGUGGAAAGAUUCCUCAUCUGGGGACCCGAGUCAGGCAGAUCUGCACCCUGCCAAGUUCCCCAGUCAGGGUGCGCCCCCAACUUGGUUCUGCAGAUGAGCAAAGCCACUGGUUGGGAUUACUCUUAGGACCCUGCAGGUAUGAACUUCCAUCUGUCAAGAUCCUUGUGCUGGUUGUUGGAAGCCCCUGCCCUAGCCUCCAUCACAGUCGGAGUCCCAGUGUUUGAGCCCCUCAGAUUCCCCUGCGAUCCUCGUGGUGGGAGAUCACAGUAGGGGGCUCCUAAAAGUGACCCACAGGGCCGGGCGUGCUGUUUGUCCCUCCUGGGUUCUCUUUUCCCACUGGAGGAACUGGUGGCCCAUAGGAGACCUCUCCGUGGGCUGCACUGGACCGGGGGCGGGGCAGCGUGGUCAACAUGUGGCUGCUUCUCUUCUCCUUCUGAUGCAGUCUGGCUUGGUCUCUGAGGUGCAGGGGGCACUUCAGCCUCACCCCUGUGUUCCGGGAUUCUCUCAGUGGUGUCUUGUUCUUGAACAGAUGUUAGUUGUUGUCAUGGGGUGUGAAGUCAGGAACAACCUAUGUCGCCAUCUUGCUGGCAUCACUCAGCUCUCUGCCCGCUUUGAACUUUUGUUCUGGUGUGGGAGGUGCCCGGUAAGCCAGUGAACAUGGGAUGUGUUGUCAGAUGAUGAUAAAUGCCAUGAGGAAGGUAAAGCUGAAUAAAGGGGUAGGGGUGAUGGGGUGGGGGGUAUGUUGCUGUUUAGCUAAGUCAUCAGGUCUUACCGGGGAGGUCAUAAUUUAACCAGAGACCUGAGUGUCUUGCUCAGUUUGGGCUGCUGUGACAAUAACAUCAACUGGGUGGCCUAACAAUAGACUUUUAUCUCUCACAGUUUUGGAUACUGGAAAUCUGAGAUCAGGGAGCCAGCAGGGUAGGCUUCUUGGUGAGAACGCCCUUCCCCGUUUCAGACAGCUGCCUUCUUGCUACGUCCUUACAUGGCGGGGGGUGGGGUGGGGGGGGAGCGGGGAGAGACCAUUUCUCGUGUGUCUUCUCUUGCAAGGGCACUAAUUCUCCACCCUCGUGACCAAAUCACUCCCAAAAGGUCCCAUUUACAAAUACUGUCACAUUGGGAAUUAGGGUUUCAACACAGAAGUCCUGGGGGAACACGAACGUUCAGUCUGUAGCACUGAAUGAAGUAAGGAAGGGCCUUCCAGGCACCGGGAACUGCACUUUCGGAGACCUAACGUGAGCCAUGUCAGAGGAACAGCUCCGUUGGCUGCAGGGUUGAAGCUGGAGCAGAGCAGCCAGCGAAGGAAAGAGCGUUCAGAAAUGAAGUGGGAGAGGUACCACAGAAGGCCUACGUGGUGGGCACUUGGGAUUUGAUUCCCAGUGGCAUGGGGGAGCCUGUCUCCAGAGGGAAAGAUGUGCUAGGACUUUUCAUUCCUAAAAGGUCACUUUGGAUGCUGUGGGGCUGGGGUCAGGGGCCAGGAGUGGAUGUGUGCCGUGGUCUAGGUGAGAGGUGGUGGCUGAGAAGACUGGGUUGGUAGCAGUGGGGGUUGUAAGAGGUGGUUGGAUUGGGGACACUGAAGGUAGAGCCGGUACCUUUUGCUGAGAGAUCCGUUGUGGGGUGUGACCUGACCCCAACGUUACAGGGUUACGAGGUGGGCCUUUGGGUGAUUCGGCUUCUAUCUGAGGGUCAUAAGAGCGGGGUCCUCGUGAUGGGAUUGGUGUCCAUGUAAGAAGAGGAGUGACCAGAGCUCUCUCCCCUCGUGCCCCGUGAGGACACAGUGAGAAGGCGGCCACCCGCACAAGAAGAGAGCGCUCACCAGGGCCCAGCGCUGCUGGCGCCCUGAUCUUGGACUCCAUGCCCUCCAGAACUGGGAGAAAUAAGUUCAUGUUGUUUAAGCUAGCCAGACUGCGGUGUUCUGUUACAGCAGCCCAAGAUGAAACCCCUUCCCUUCCGAUUUAUUUCUUUCGUGAGCUAUGCACGCCAGGUGUACAAAACUAAAUAAUUAAAUUCAAACGCUACAGCGGUGUGUAAGGUUUAAGUAAAAGUUUACUUUUCUCCCUCCAGAAGUAACCCCUUUGAGGUAUCCAUUUGAAAGCUUGGGUUUUAUUCUACUAGACCCAUGGUUUCUUUUUUAAAAAAAAAUUUUUUUACGUGUAUUUUUUCAUUUUGAGAGAGAGAGAACAGCAGAGGGGCAGAGAGGGAGAGGAAGAGAGAGAAGCCCAAGCAGGCUCCGUGCUGUCGGCACAGAGCCUGACAUGGGGCUCAGACUCACAAACCGUGAGGUCAUGACGUGAGCCAAAACCAAGAGUUGGACGCUUAACCAACUGAGCCACCCAGGCGCCCCUAGACCUGUGCCGUCUAAUGAGGCAGCCAUUUGCCACUUGUGGCUUUUCAAAUUUACUCAAUUACAAUUAAGUACAACUAAACACUCAAUUCCUCAGUCAUACAUACUGGCUAUGUUUCGGGUGUUCAGUAGCCAUGACUAGCUGCAACCGUGUUGGACAGAAUAGACAGCAUUUCCAUCAUCACAGAAUGUGCUAUCGAAUGGCACUGUUUUAGAUGAAUUCUAUUCAUAUACAAAUGUGUGUGUGUGUUAUAUAUACGUGCAUGCACACACACAUACACAUAUCUGUGCAGUUGGCAUAAUAUUGUACAUACUCUUCUGCAAUUUGUUUUUUCCACCUAACAGAGAAACUGUUAAUUUGGUGUGAUCCACACACAGCAUCAUGCCAGGAAAAUUUUAAAACAGGGUGCAUAAUCAAACAUAGAGUUUUAGUACAUUAAAAAUCUUUUAAUUUCAGAUUUUAGAGGUAAUCGCAACACAUCCUAAUGCUUGUUCCAAUUUUAACAAAACAAAUUAAUUUUGGAAAUCGUCCACUCAGCCAUGGGUAUGUAAAGAAAGAAGGUUCAGGAGCUGUAGUUUGAGCUUAAUCUACCGUGUAGAUUGACAUACACACCUGCGUGCGCGCGCACACACACACACACACACACACACACUCACACUCACACACUUGCUGUUAUUUCUGUUUUGUAACAGGGAUUAUAACCUUCUCCUGUUUAGUAUGCUCACUAUUCAGUAGACCAGCACUGUCCAAAAUGGUAGCCACUAGGCACAUGUGGUUAUUUAAAUUGAAAUUAAACAUUUAGUUCCUCAGUUGUACUAGCCACAUUUCAAAUGUCCAUUAGUCACGUGUGGCUGGUGGAUAGCGUGGAUCUGGAACAUUGUCAUUUCACGGAAGAAACUUUCUUCAAGGGGUGCCUGGGUGGCUCAGUCGGUUAAGCGUCCGACUUCACCUCAGGUCAUGAUCUCGUGGUCCGUGAGUUCGAGCCCCGCGUCGGGCUCUGUGCUGACAGCUCAGAGCCUGGAGCCUGUUUCGGAUUCUGUGUCUCCCCCUCUCUGACCCUCCCCUGUUCAUACUCUGUCUCUCCCUGUCUCAAAAAUAAAUAAAAAGGUUAAAAAAAAAAAAAGAAACUUUCUUCAAGUCCAUUUCUCAUUUAAAUGCAGUGAUUUUUCCACAGGUAGAGGGUGGGGGACUCUGUCCAGGAGGAUGUCUGAGAAUUUGUGGAAGUGACUGGAGAGCUCGCACUUCCGUGCCCUUCCCGGUCAAGAUUCUCAUCCUCCCCUUUGAAGACGCAUGUCCUCCUACUAUCUUUGAGAAUUAGUGUUCCGUAGUAAGUUAAUUGUGGGAAAGAAUAUUGGUACUGAUAGCAUUGCAAGGUUAGAAUAUUAUUUUGAUAAUUGGCAACGCAUAUACGCUAUUAAACUGCAUCUAUACAUACAGUAGGUGUCACUGCUCAACUUGCAAUAAAAGUGUUUAGUAUCAAACUGUUCAGUUACUGUGGGUGCUGACAACGUAUUAUGUUUAAACUUUUUAAAUCGAGAAAAGAACAGACUAUUGGAAAUGCACCCUUUUGUGGAAAAUAGAUGUAUUUAUGUUGACAUUUAUGUUAGGAAAUAUGUAAUCUGGACAGAUUCAUAGGAAACAGGAAGAAUAGUUCCCUGUGGGAAUGGAGAUGGUGUAAGAGGGAGACAGGUAUGAUAGAAUGACUUUUUUGCUCUCUGCCCUUUAUGUACCUUGUGACUAUGUGCUUAUGUUAAUACAAAAAUUAAUAAAUAAAAUGAAGGAAAAAAGCAAAAUACAUCCUUAAAAUGUGCGGGAUACAGAAUAGAUGGUUUAGAAGGUAAGGGUCACUUAGGACAGAAGGAAUUACAUAGAUUUAUAGGGCAGAGGGCUGGUCUGAAGUUUCACGUGACCAUCAGAUGAAACCUCGUGAGGCCUCCUGGCAUGCCAGGACCCGGGCUAGGCAGACCAUUUCUCACAGGCUGGUUAUUUUGUAGUAAUUAAAGCUGUUUGCAACUGUUUUAUUACAUAUAACUUAAUACAUUUUAGGAGAAAAAAAUACUCAUAGUACUGAACUAUUUUUUUUCCACGCAACCUCUCUUAACUCGCAUGGAACACGGCUUAGGAAAUGCUGAUUUAAACUCUUGGAAAUAAUUAUCCCAGAAAGAUGAGGUUGAAAAGAAGUUGUUCCAGGUCUGGGGCACCCUGCUUCAUUUACAGCCUUUCAGGAAGAUGAAUACUGGUGUUAAUUGAGUUUAAUUUGAAUAGGGACAUACCACAGCUUAUUCAGCACACGGCACCCACAUAAAAGUCACACACACACUGAACAUGGACUUGGUCAUCGACACUGCCCGGUCCUUUGCUUACAGCCUCUGUCAGGGACCAAGAGGUGGGACAGUCCAACAAUGUGGGGCGUGGGCACAAGGGACAAACCUCCUUUCCUCCACCAUCACGUCUCCAUAUUUCAGCUUCCAGGCGACUGUGACAUCAAAAAUGGAGUGCCCAGGUAGUCAAAACCAAGUGUUAGGUUUUGAAAACAGAAUCCUGUAGUUCAGCAGAAUUGAUCUUCUUCUAUGAAAGCAAGUGGCUGGGAUUUGUGCUUUUUCAGGAAAGCAAACUAAGGGAAAACUAGUUAAGGAAAAAUUAUGCCCUAAACUACAAGCGUUACAAAGGAAAUCUUGUUUGGGGCACCUGGGUGGCUCAGUCGGUUGAGCGUCUGACUUCCGCUCGGGUCAUGAUCUCACGGUCUGUGAGUUCGAGCCCCGCGUCUGGCUCUGUACUGACAGCUCGGAUCCUGGAGCCUGCUUCAGAUUCUGUGUCUCCCUCUCUCUCUCCUCUCCCCCGUUCAUGCUCUGUCUGUCAAAAAUAAACAUUAAAAAAAAAAAAAAAAAACCCAAAAAACCAAAGGAAAUCUUGUUUGUGGUGGGAGUUUGAGGCAAUGACUUCCCAAAGGCAAGGAUAAUUUUCAAAAUACUGAAUGAUCAGCACAGCACAGGAGUUCACACAUUCAGAAUAGAUGCCAGCCUUGCACAACUGGUGUGGCCGUACCACUGUGUACAGGCUGAGUGUCAUUCCUGCCGGACAACAAAACCAUUCAAGACGAGAAAUGAGCCAUUACUGGGUUUUGCGGCCAAGCCUGCGGGUUGUCCCCUGUGUCCAUAACACCCAUCUUUAUAGAGUCACUAGUUGAUAUGGGGGUGCUUGGCUGCUUUAUGGCCAUAUGACUAAAUUCUCGUUAGUGGGAGGCAUAUUAUCAUGUGGUCUUUUCUAGAACCUUCCUUAAGGGACAGUAUGUGUCCCCCCUCUGCCCUCUCUUUAUUUAUGCCUUUCCCAUUCUGCUUCCUAGAAUGUGGAUGCCGCCAUCUUGAGCCACGGAGUUGACGUCACAGCAGUAAAAUAAGUAGAGGGCCACACUCGCCUGAGAAAGAAAGAAACUUCUCCUGUUUAGGUCACAACUACUUUGGGCUUGAAGACACCCUCAGCCAAACCUAAUUCUAACUAUUGUGGGUCCCUCAUCUCCUAGGCAAAUUCAAUUUUAUUUAAACUCUUAACACUCCUGUGAACUUGGUAUUCUUGUUCCUUGGUAAGGGAUUAGGAGACGGAGGUUGAAUAAAAA